CACAAUAACAUAUGAAGGCUGCACGCGGCUGCGCCCCUGGGCCAGUUGGCGGAGGCUGGAGUAUUUAUUACCCUUGUCUUUUGCGCACUUGUUGUUUCCUGGGCGGGUCCGCCCGCCACUAGGACCACAUCAUAAACCUUUUUUAUGCAGUUGUAGUCAGCGUCAGUACAACAAAUUAUUUA
rnacentral:misc_RNA from 1 species